rnacentral:rRNA from 1 species
AUUGAACGCUGGCGGCAGGCCUAACACAUGCAAGUCGAGCGAGCGGCGGACGGGGGAGUAAUGUAUGGGGACUGCCCGUUAGAGGGGGAUAACUACUGGAAACGGUAGCUAAUACCGCAUACUAUCGGAUAACCCAUAUGGGAUUAGCUAGUAGGUGAGGUAAUGGGUCACCUAGGCGACGAUCCCUAGCUGGUCUGAGAGGAUGAUCAGCCAAACUGGGAUGUGGACACGGCCCAGAACCCUACGGAGGGAGCAGUGGGGAAUAUUGCACAAUGGGCGCAAGCCUGAUGCAGCCAUGCCGCGGGUAUGAAGAAGGCCCUAGGGUUGUAAAGUACUUUCAGUCGGGAGGCGGUACCGACAGAAGAAGCACCGGCUAACUCCGUGCCAGCCGCCGCGGUAAUAC